GUUAUAUGGUCAAGCGAAUAAGCGCACACGGUGGAUGCCUAGGCGGUCAGAGGCGAUGAAGGACGUGGUAGCCUGCGAAAAGUGUCGGGGAGCUGGCAACAAGCUUUGAUCCGGCAAUAUCCGAAUGGGGAAACCCACUGCUUCGGCAGUAUCCUGCAGUGAAUUCAUAGCUGCUGGAAGCGAACCCGGUGAACUGAAAUAUCUAAGUAACCGGAGGAAAAGAAAUCAACCGAGAUUCCCUAAGUAGUGACGAGCGAACGGGGAGCAGCCCUUAAGCUGGAAUGGCUUUAGAAAAACAAUCUGGAAAGAUUGGCCAUAGAAGGUGAUAGCCCUGUAUUUAAAAGGGCCACUCCAGUGAAGACGAGUAGGGCGGGGCACGUGAAACCCUGUCUGAAUAUGGGGGGACCAUCCUCCAAGGCUAAAUACUCCUGACCGACCGAUAGUGAACCAGUACCGUGAGGGAAAGGCGAAAAGAACCCCGGAGAGGGGAGUGAAAUAGAUCCUGAAACCGUGUGCGUACAAGCAGUAGGAGCUCGCAAGAGUGACUGCGUACCUUUUGUAUAAUGGGUCAGCGACUUACUGUUCGUGGCA
rnacentral:rRNA from 1 species